rnacentral:rRNA from 1 species
GACUCUCGGCAACGGAUAUCUCGGCUCUCGUAUCGAUGAAGAACGCAACAAAAUGUCCUUUUGCAACACUCAAAAGGCAACAUUCGUUGAUUAAAUGUUGCUAAAGAAAGCUAUGGCAACAUUUAAAUAAGUGAAU